UUUUAUUACCUUGAUCAGCAAACAAAUCUGCCCUCUUGGGAGAGGCCUCCCUUGAAGGGAGAAACUAUCUUUAUCUUUCUUCCAAAGCCCUUUCCUGUACAAAAAUUCUUAAGUGUGAUGGUUAAUAUUAAGUGUCAACUUGAUCGGAUUGAAGGAUGCAAAGUAUUGUUCCUGAGUGUAUCUGUGAGGGUAUUGCCAAAGGAGAUUAACAUUUGAGUCAGUCGACUGGGACAGGCAGGCUCACCCUCUGUCUGGGUGGGCACCAUCUAAUCAGCAGCCAGCAUAAAAGCAGGAAUGGAAAGAGCAGAAUUGCUGAGUCUUCUGGCCUCCAUCUUUCUCCCAUGCUGGAUGCUUCCUGCCCUCAAACAUUAGACUCCAAGUUCUUCAGCUUUUGGACUCUUGGACUUACACCAGUGAUUUUCCAGGGGCUCUCAGGCCCUUUGGCCACAGACUGAAGGCUCCAUUGUUGGCUUGCCUACUUUUGAGGUUUUGGAAGUCAGACUGGCUUUCUGGCUCCUCAACUUGUGGACUUCCUAUUGUGGGACUUCACUUUGUGACUAUAUGUCCAUGACCUUCAUGAAGUACGGAGAGAGAAGAGGCUAUAAAUGCAAUUAGUGCUGCUGCAGACCUCUGACCCUUGAUGUUGGAGUCCUUUAGGUUUCUUAGGUAAAUUUAGCUCUUCCAUGGAACCUGAAACCUUUGGGGAAAAAAGGCUGGAGGAAAACAGAGAUCGUGCAAGGUGAAAGGGUUUCUGAGUGGAGAAUUGAAGCCGCAAACUGCACAUGUCAUCAUCUCUUUAACUCUACAGUGCACUGCUUUGUUGCUCCCUGGAUUCCUGUGAUCUUUGCUUCCAUUUUGCAGAGAUCUAGCUUCUCCUGGAUUAGUAGAUUGGUAGAUGAAAUUGGCAUGUUUCUGUCUAGAAUUUAACUAAAUAUGCUUAGAUUUAAGUACAUUUCCUUACAAAUGGUUUAGAAGAAAAUGAUGUUCUACCUAUGCUAAAUCAACUUCAUCUUCACAUAUGUUUUCUCCACAUGAAAAGGAAAUUGUUUCAAAAUCAAUAGAAUGCUAAUUUCACACUACCCAUAGCUUACCUUGGCAUUUUGAUUAGGAAACAUAGUCUUUUCAGCUCCUCUCUGAAAUCACAUUUCUUUAUUUUUUUUUCUCAUGAGAAAAAGAGUUUGUCUUUUUUAGAAGGUUACUAAAAAAAAAUUAAAUUCCUUUAUUAUUUCAUUUUUUAUUCCUUAAGGUAUACCAUUAUGCUGCAAUUUGAGAGCAGUAAAAUUUAGUAUGAAUAUCAACUUUUAUAAAUUGCUCCUAACUUUAAAAGCCUCAGUUAUAUCAUUUGAUUUCUGACAUUAUUUUCUGUUUUUCUGAGGGAACUGAAAGAUUCACUGUUGAUUUUUUGGUAUGUGUAAAAUGUUUAUAAAAUAUGUCUUUCAAUCUUGCUAACACAAAACUCCAAAGCUGGCCACCUAAGCAACAAAGAUUUUUAGGGUAGCUUGAUUUUGUCAUUAUUUUUCUUGCAGCAUUAGUAGAAUUUUGUUAAGUAGGAGAAAGGGUAUUUGGUAUAUUACAGAGUAAUUUUUUAUUUUUAUUUUUUCCUUUUACUUUUAGUUGACACAUAACAAUUGUACAUAUGUAUGGGAUACAGAGUGAUAUUUCAAUAUGUGUAUACAAUGUGUAAUGAUCAAAUUAGGGUAAUUAGCAUUUCUAUCACCAUCAAAACAUUUAUCAUUACAGAGUAGAUUUUUGAAUGUAAGUUGGUUAUAUUACCAACUUGGUUGUUGGCAAUUUGCUGUACUGAUCUCCCUCUUUUCAAAGUUAACUUGUAUAAUUUGUUUUUCAAGGUAGGUUAACACACCAAUUCAUUCAUCAUGGGAAAAGAUCCUAGGGGCUUUUAAAAAUUUCACAAAAUACAGGAACCCCAUAAUAUCACUAAAAAUACUCAUUUAACUUUUGCUUGAAGAUGUCUGUGGUUCUCAUUACUUCAAAGAAAGUCACUCUAUUCCUUUCUGGAGAUGAAAGAGCACCCUAUUUCCAUAUUCAUUAGGGAGUUGUUUCUUAUAUGAUCUGAAAUCUAUGUCCCUGUAAUUCCAACUCAUUAGUUCCCACUCUCAUGUACGAAACUAUGCAGAUGAAUUUUUACCUUAUUUCUACAUGAAAUUCCUCCAAAUAUCAAAUAUUAAAUACCUAGGUUUCAAAAUUCUUCCUAAAAUAUAACAGACAGGACUGAACACAGUGCUAUAUAUAUCACCUAGGCAGUACAAUGAAUAAUGGAAUUACUCUUCCUUUUCUAGGGACCAGGAAUGGAUGUUAGCACUAAGAUCAUUAUCCCCCAGCCCUGCAGCUCUGCUGGUCAAAAUUGAGUAAAUUAACAACUAUACUCCUCCUCCUCCUGGUUACUUAUUGGGCAGCCACUACUAUGUUAAGCAGUUUAUUUAUAUAACAGCCAUCUUACGUGGGUACUUCACUUAUGUGAAACACACAAGGAAACCAGAAUUUACCCAAGGUAACAUAAACUACAAAAUAACAUAACUACAAAGAAGAUGGGAAGCCUGAACUCUCUCAUCUCACUGCUCAUAUUUUUAGGCACUUGGCAAUAUUGUAUUCCCUAACUAAAACACCGAGAACUCUGUCAUAUGAUCAGUAUUGCUGGUGAGAUGAUCCUCAGAAGAAUAUAUCUGUCCUUUGGCUUUGGGCUAGAUGUCUGGCACCUGAACCUCCAACCUGAUGCACAAUCCUUCCCUGUAAUUUUGAUAUAUGACCUAGCCUGUUAGAAAAAGUGGUUUCCUUUUAAUAGGCUCUUUUUAAAGUUAUCCUUUACAUUUUUUUCUUUAAAAAAUAUCCAGAAUUAGAUUCUGUGUUUACUACUAAGAUUGAUAGAUAGACUUAUCUAAAUAUUGUUAGGCCACCAUCAUUUUUUUGUUGUUUUUGCUGUGAUCAGGAUGCAUUAUAUUACAGUACUUUCCUUAUUUUCUUGUCCAGUAAUCUUAUUAAACAUGAGGCUAACUUUGCUUGUUCUGUAGAAACUACAUUCUUUUCUAAGUGCUUACCAUCUCUCUGUUGAAUAAAUUAAUUCAUUUAUAAUUUUCUAGGGAUUGUAGUAAAAAAUUAAAUCUAUUUUAGCAACAGUAAUGUAUCAAUUUCUUAUUCUGAAAAUUAUGGAUUAUCCAUUCCUAGACUUCUGUUGAUAAUAACAGAAAUAAUAUUGUCAGCACUUUAUAUCUUAGGUUAUAAUGUUUAGAUGUCAAAAAAGUUGUCACAUUAAUCUACUAAGAACAAUUUCUUUCAAAUUGUUUUAGAAAGGAAUCAACUUAAACAUUUGCUUGUGUAAUCAGUAUAUUUUAUUUGACAACAUGCUUGCCCUUUCAAAAUUUUCUCUGAUAGUAACUUAUUGUCUCUUUUAGUCAUUCUCUAAGCAAUUUUUCUUUCUAUCUUUAUAAUUCUGGUCCUCUUUUUCCCCACCUAUCUUUUCUUCCUACGUUCCAAUAUACAUUCAAAAGGCCCAGAAACAGUCUAGUCUUCAAAAAGAAAUUAUUUUCACUAUGGCAGUCUACAUUAGUAAUUGUUUUCUAGUGCCCCUAGUAAUUCAUAUCAUACUACCUAGCACUUUACUUUAAACUAACUAAUGUUUCUCUUGAUAUAUCAAAUAUG
rnacentral:tRNA from 10 species